GUGAUGGUGGUAUAGUGGUUAGCAUAACUGCCUUCCAAGCAGUUGCCUUAGGUUCAAAUCCCGGCCAUCGCA
rnacentral:tRNA from 1 species